UGAGGUGACAUCUCAUUGUGGUUUUAAUUUGCAUUUCUCUGAUGAUUAGUGAUGUGAACAUAUGUUUUUUAAAAUCCAAGAUUCUUUUCUUAGUAAAGCCAUACUCAAUCUAUUGAAUCCAUCAGCCUCUGACAUUCCACCUCAUUGUUCCUUCCUGACAUCUGAAAUGGAAAGGAGACAGGCUAUUAAACCGGUUUUAACAAAUUCAGAGCAGCCAGGUUCUUGGCUUGGGGAAAAAACAUUCCACUUAUCAAGAGAUGUUACUCCUUCAAAGGAUGAAAACCUAUUUCAUGAAGAGAAUCUGGGGGGAGCUUUUUGUUCUGCGGGGACAACAUCUGGAUUUUAAUAUGUCCAUCUUCAAAAGGAGAUUUCUCAUAAUGGACCAAACUCGAAACACUCAGAGCACAAGGACCAGGGAGUUUUCAAAAGGAGACACUUCCCGAGAAGCCCGAGGGCCCUUAUGUCCCCGCAGCCCGCGCGGAGGUCGGUGAGGUCUCCCGCGCCUUUAGCUUCUAAGUUUCAUGCUGAAAGUCACAGCCACCGUCUUCCGCCUCCCCACCCCACUCCGGGAAUUUGGGACCUGAAUUCAUUUGAAAACAUUUGUGGUUUCAGGAGGCUCUUUAUGAUACAGCUGCCAAGGAGAUCUCGCCAUGAAAGACCAGUUCGGAGAUGAGGAGCAAGGCAGCUAGGCCCAGGCCGUGGGCUUGUAAAGGGUACGCGAGCCCGGUGCCCCGCCCACCGUGCCGGCGGGCAUGGGCCUCGAGGCGGAUGCCCCCGGACCCGGGUUCGAAUCCCCUGGCCUGGCGGUACAGACCAUGGGGAGUUGUGUAACGUCCUGGCCCCGAGACGCCCUUUCCAGGAGCCCAGGCAUGGAACGAAGUCCUUAGAAGCUCUGACAUCAGAGGUGACGCGUCUUCGCAGGCAAUGACUAGGCAGAACGCGAUGCCACUCCCUUUCCCGUGUCCGGGCUGGCGCGGGGCGUGUCGCCUCCGACCACGGGGUCCUGGCGCCUCCGACAGCUCUCCCGAGUGCCCGGCGCCCCCGCGCUUCCCGGCCCACCAGACCCUCGCUCCUCGGCGGCACGGCCCCGUCGCAGAUGACGCUCCCGUGGGCUGGCCUGUGGCUCCCCCUUGUGGUGACCGCCGCGAGGCCUGGUCACCGGGAGGCCUUGGCACAGCUCUCCACACGGGAAGUCCUUUCUGGGUCCGACCUCGACCCCUCCUGGGGCUGCGGGAAGCACGACGGGGCAGCUGAGGGCAGCCGCCUCUCCCCUCCACUUUAGAAAAUCGCGUCACACGGAGGCCAAGCAGUCUUUUUCUAGGCUGGCUGCACUGUCUUGAGGCCAAAUGGAAGGGACGACCUUGAGUGGGCCUGUGGAGGAUUUCUAUGCCAAAGGGCCUUUAGGGAGUAAGACUGAGGACUGUCUUGAGGGCAGGGUGCAUGAGGAGGGCUUCCACCUAGGCGCUGGAAGGGUAGAGGGACCCCCAAAGGAAGGAUGUAGGUUAGGGCUUUGGAGGAAAAAUUGAGGGGCAGGGGCCUCUGCCUGAGGGAGGGUUUUGGUGCGACCCCCGACUCACCGACCUGGUGGGCUUCUUCCUCCACCUCCUCCCGGGACAGAUUUCAUCGGUGUUUCAGCGGCGUUGGUGAAGGGCCUUCAGUCAGCCAUUAAUCUUAAGAGCAGAGAAAGCAAGAGGGAUUCGAGUUAAACACCGGGCAGAACUUCCCAACCAUGAGGGAUUUGGGACCUCAGAAAGGGGAUCAGAGGCGGCAUUCUCCCAUCCAGGAGAGACCCCAGUUGAAGCAGGGUCUGGACAAAGGGUGAGCUGGCCCCUGGCUCUGCCCUGACGGGCUGGUGACCAGGGUGCAGUCCUUGGGGCCCCAGGGUGGCAAGGCUUCUGUGAAGUUCCUGGUGGGAUGGCCCUGGGCAGGUGGUGAUGGACAGAGGGAGAAAUCGAGGUCACUGCCGCCCCCACCCUGCCCGCUCGGCAACCUCAUUUUCCUUAACUGCUCAUCUUGCCUCCUCUCUGGACAGUUCUGAUCCCUCAUGAGAGAUCAUGCUACCCCCGUACAUGCUCCUAUCAAACACGUUUCACCGUAGGCCCCAUGUCCAGCUCUGAGCUCCAUCCCAGCUUUCUCCCCAGCACCUAGCAUGCUGCCUGGCACAGCAGCGCUGCUCUGCGAAUAUUUGGUCACUUCCAGGAACAGACCCUGGGAAUUCUGCUUUGGUGGCUGGAGCAAAUGUCACUGACCUCCUAAUGGUUUGCAUCAGACUGUGAGCAACUCUGCACAGUUUACAAGACACUUUACAUCCAUUUGCUGGCCUCAGACCCCCAGACCUGAUGCAGAACAGAGGCUGUUCACUGUGCCCAGCCCUCCACAGAGCUUGUGUUAUUGGACCUUUAGGACAACAUGUGGUUGAUCCAGUUCCCAUUUUAUUAAUGGGAGACUGAAGUCUGGAAGAUCCUUGCCCAAGAGCACACAGCUGGAAUCCCUUUGAUUGAUGCAGUUGAAGUGGUGUUCAUCAUACUGCCAGGCCCCGUCCUAGAAGAAAAGAGGAAGCCGACCACCUCUGUUGUUUCUUCUUGCCACAUGGUGUUGCUGUUGAAGUCUAGUCCCGCACAGUCUGAUGGACACUUUUUUGCCCUUUGCAGCACUGACAGCUCUGUUCAGGUCUCUCCAUGGGUGUCAGUACACCUUCUAGAGGAAACACUGUGCCUUGGCUAAGAUUACAGUUCCUCAAUUAAAUUAGACAGAUAUUUACUAAGUGCCUACUAUAUGCCAGACAUUGAUGUAGGCCUGGAAAAAUAUCAGAUCAAAAUAGGCAAUGCUCCCUUGCCUUUCUGGGCCUAGACAACAAUGUCCACAAAUAAUUACAAAGCAUGCUAAAAGGUGUUAAGCCCAAUGGGGGAAUG